UACGUAGGGGGCAAGCGUUAUCCGGAAUUAUUGGGCGUAAAGAGUACGUAGGUGGCAACCUAAGCGCAGGGUCUAAGGCAAUGGCUCAACCAUUGUUCGCCCUGCGAACUGGGAUGCUUGAGUGCAGGAGAGGAAAGCGGAAUUCCUAGUGUAGCGGUGAAAUGCGUAGAUAUUAGGAGGAACACCAGUGGCGAAGGCGGCUUUCUGGACUGUAACUGACACUGAGGUACGAAAGCGUGGGGAGCAAACAGG
rnacentral:rRNA from 1 species